rnacentral:rRNA from 1 species
UACGAAGGGUGCAAGCGUUACUCGGAAUUACUGGGCGUAAAGCGUGCGUAGGUGGUUCGUUAAGUCUGAUGUGAAAGCCCUGGGCUCAACCUGGGAAUGGCAUUGGAAACUGGCGACCUAGAGUGCGGUAGAGGGUAGUGGAAUUCCCGGUGUAGCAGUGAAAUGCGUAGAGAUCGGGAGGAACAUCCGUGGCGAAGGCGACUACCUGGACCAGCACUGACACUGAGGUGCGAAAGCGUGGGGAGCAAACAGG